rnacentral:siRNA from 1 species
UGAUUGGGAGGAUGUCGAUCGA